rnacentral:rRNA from 1 species
AUUGAACGCUGGCGGCAGGCCUAACACAUGCAAGUCGAGCGGGGUUUUCGGACCUAGCGGCGGACGGGUGAGUAAUGCGUAGGAAGCUACCCGAUAGAGGGGGAUACCAGUUGGAAACGACUGUUAAUACCGCAUAAUGUCUACGGACCAAAGUGUGGGACCUUCGGGCCACAUGCUAUCGGAUGCGCCUACGUGGGAUUAGCUAGUUGGUGGGGUAAUGGCUCACCAAGGCGACGAUCCCUAGCUGGUUUGAGAGGAUGAUCAGACACACUGGAACUGAGACACGGUCCAGACUCCUACGGGAGGCAGCAGUGGGGAAUAUUGGACAAUGGGCGCAAGCCUGAUCCAGCCAUGCCGCGUGUGUGAAGAAGGCCUUCGGGUUGUAAAGCACUUUCAGUAGGGAGGAAGAGUUGAGUGUUAAUAGUACUCAGCUUUGACGUUACCUACAGAAGAAGCACCGGCUAACUCUGUGCCAGCAGCCGCCGUAAGAC